AAAUUGAAGAGUUUGAUCAUGGCUCAGAUUGAACGCUGGCGGCAGGCCUAACACAUGCAAGUCGAACGGUAACAGGAAGAAGCUUGCUUCUUUGCUGACGAGUGGCGGACGGGUGAGUAAUGUCUGGGAAACUGCCUGAUGGAGGGGGAUAACUACUGGAAACGGUAGCUAAUACC
rnacentral:rRNA from 4 species